rnacentral:rRNA from 1 species
UACGUAGGGUGCGAGCGUUGUCCGGAAUUAUUGGGCGUAAAGAGCUCGUAGGCGGUCUGUCGCGUCGGCGCGAAAACCUGCAGCUUAACUGUGGGCUUGCGGUCGAUACGGGCAUCACUGGAGUUCGGCAGGGGAGACUGGAAUUACUGGUGUAGCGGUGAAAUGCGCAGAUAUCAGGAGGAACACCGGUGGCGAAGGCAGGUCUCGUGGGCAUUAACUGACGCUGGAGGAGCGAAAGCAUGGGGAGCGAACAGG